CCCUUAGAUGUUCUGGGCCGCACGCGGGCUACACUGAUGCAUUCAACGAGCCUAUCCUUGACCGACAGGUCCGGGUAAUCUUUGAAUCUGCAUCGUGACGGGGAUAGAUUAUUGCAAUUAUUAAUCUUCAACGAGGAAUGCCUAGUAGGCGCAAGUCAUCAGCUUGCGUCGAUUACGUCCCUGCCCUUUGUACACACCGCCCGUCGCUCCUACCGAUUGGGUGUGCUGGUGAAAUCUUCGGAUUGAGACUUUGAUUUGUUUACUCAAAACGCUGUUUCAAGAAGUUGAUUAAACCUUACCAUUUAGAGGAAGGUGAAGUCGUAACA
rnacentral:rRNA from 1 species